AAAAUCUCGCAUGAAUAUAGGACAACCAUAAGGUUACCUCUUUUUUUCCAGGCCACCUGAGUAUAUUCUUGUUUCUCCCUGGUUACAUGUUGUGCUUUAACAUAUGAACAUUUUGAAAUUCUUCAAAAUGAGUACUGGACUAAUAUUUGCCUAAUUGUCAUGUAGCAUUAUUAUAGAGGAAUUAAAAUGUAAAGAACAAGGUACGGUUUUGGUCAAAAUCUGCCCUGUCAAGAAAAUUCACCAAAAUGCUAAACCUGGUAUUUGAGAAUGUAUCGUUUAUGAAUAUGACCAUUUUCCAUAGCAGCUGUAAUAUAUUCAACGGAAAACUCUAUAUCAAACUGACGUCACCAACUUUGCCGUUAAUUUUGACACAAUACACGAGAGUUCUCUCCAAGCGAUGUUCUGAGUAGGAAAAUAAAAACUGUAUCACACAUAGAUCUAUUUAUUAAUUUUUGAUCAAUGCAAAAUUAUUGGUUUUUGUACUGAUUUGAAUGGGUAUUAAAUCGAAAUUGAAACCACAUCAGAUAUACCGCGCUGGAGCAAAAACUACAGUCGUUCGUCAAAAGCUUUUCUGGUGCAGAAAUAUAAUGGUUUGAACACCAAGUUAAAGAAACAUUGAUAUACCGGUAACAGCGAUUUCUCAUUUCUGUCUCCGGUUUCUUUAUUGUGGCAGAAUUAAAGAAAAAUUAUGUUUAUAUUUGUUAAGAGUCUUGCGUGCAUUCGAAGAAAAUGACGACAUCAUUUGGAUAUGAGGUAGCUAGCUCACAUUCAAAUCACUGGAUUUUAUAUGAAGUUAAUUGGGUUGUGUAAUUUUUUACGUAUCAGAACACACUGGAAUUCAUCGGUAUUGGCUUUUAAUUGGCAUUCGCAGUAUUCCAUGAGCUUUGAUAAUAAAACAUAAAUGUAGACUCUCAAUGUUAUAUGCGUGAUAUUUGGAGCAAAAUGUCAUUUUCUAGGUAUGCUCGGGGGAAAAGGGCAGUGUUUCUGAGAAACUAGAAGCACAACUUCAAAGGGGAGAUAAUUAUGAAACGGCUGUGGAGAUCAGUUGUAGAGCGUUCGCUCCGUAACCUGGGGGUAGUGAGUUUGAACCCCAUUCAUGCCAUGGCCGCAUUGAACCUAAGACGUAGACAUACAUGUACUCCUUCGACAACACUCAACAGAAGUGAGAAUCACGGGUCUUUCAGAUAGGCACCUGAUGCCACCUCAAGUGUGUCCAGGGGUCCAUGUUUGCCUAGAUAGAAUGUUCUAUCAUUGAAAUGAUAAUGUCCUAUGGACCCGGUUUAACUGGGGUAGCUCCAGACCACAGUGUCUGCAGAUGUCCCUCCACCUGAGAUCUAUUGUUAAAUGUUUGAUUGACAGGCAGUUUACAAUUUGGGGGUGUUCACUUAAAAUUGGGUCUUUAACUGGAUUGACUUUUGUAAAUUUUUAGUGAUCAUUCACUUUCAAACACUUCAGUGACAAUUUAGUGAAUUGUGCCAUUACUUAUUUUGCCACAAAAAAGCUAGUCAGAGGGAAAUUUCAAUGUUGAAUUUUUAGCUCUUCUGAGCCGAAGGCUCAAAGAGCUAAUCAUAUGGCCAUAUGUCUGGCGUGCGGUGUGCGUCAACUUUUUGGAAAAAGGGCUCUAUCUCAAGAACCCCUUGGCCAAUUUUUGUCAAAUUUGUCACAGGGUAUCCUUGGCCCAAGGGCUUCAUUUGUACUAAAACUAGGGUUGUGACCCUUUAACAAGGGGAGAUAAUUAGGAAAAUGCAAACAAAAGUAGUGGUGGCUAAAAAAUCUUCUUCUCAAGAACCACUUGGCAAAUUAUCACCAAACUUAUGCAUAAGGAUGAGGUAGGUUGUAGAUUAAAAAUUGUUCAAGGCAUCAUCCUGGGGCAAAGAGUGUGGUCUCAAGGUCACUUCAAAGUUGACCUUAAAUUUUGUUUUGUUAAACUUUGAUAUUUUGCUUAGUAUAAAGACUAGGAUCAUCAAAUUUUGUCAGUUGAUGCAUCUUAGGACCUAAUAUCAUGUUGUCUCAAAAGUAGGUCAUGGUGAUCUACUUUUUGAAUUUCGCAGGUAAUUAUUAUUAAAUGGAUUUUGAUGCAUAUCUUGGACACUUUUGAGCCUAUGAUCAUCAAAAGUUGUCAGUUGAUGGAUCAUGGGACCUUGAAGUGUGUCAUGUGAAAAGUAUGUCACCAUGACCUACUUUCUGAAUUUUGUGGUUAAUCAUUUAUGAAGACAUUUUAGGUUGUUAUUUCAGAUACCGAGAGGUUUAGAAUCAUCUAACCUUGUAAGUUGAUGCAUCUAGAGGCCUCGAAACAUAUUUAUAAAAAAGAGUAGGUCACAGUGACCUACUUUUUGAAUUUUGCAGACAUUCCAAUUUCACAUUUUCAAUUUUAGAUGCAUAUUUUGGACACUAUGAAAGCUAGGAUCAUCAAACUUUGUCAGUUAAUGCAUCUUGAGUAUUCAUAGUUUGUUGACCAAAAAGUGGGUCACCGUGACCUACUUUUGGAAUUUGACGACUAUAUUGUAAUAUUUCAGAUACUAUUUGACUUACAAUUAUCAAACUUUGUCAGUUGGUGCAUGUUGAGUCUUCAGAGUGUGUUGACUAAAAAGUAGGUUACCGUGACGUAUUUUUGGAUUUUGACAGCUAUAUUUUAAUAUUUCAGAAACUAUUUGACUUACAAUCAUUAAACUUUGUCAGUUGAUGGGUCUUGAGUCUUCAGAGUGUGUCGACCAAAAAGUAGGUCACUGCGACCUACUUUUGGAAUUUGACCUUUAUAUCUGAAUAUUUCAGAUACUAUUUGACUUCAGUUAUCAAACUUUGUCAGUUGAUGCAUCUUGAGUCUUUAAAGUGUGUCGACCAAAAAGUAGGUCACUGUGGCCUUCUUUUGGAAUUUGACGGCUAUAUUUGAAUACUAUUUGACUUGUCAGUUGAUGCAUCUUGAGUCUUCAGUGUGUCGACCAAAAGUAGGUCACCGUGACCUACUUUUGGACAGUUACAUUUAAAUUUUCAGGUACUAUUUGACUUGACAUCAUCAAACUUUGUUAUUGAUGAAUCUUGGUUAGUGAGAAUUUUUGCCUGUUCUACAAUGUAUCAGAAAAGUGAUUCUAGACCCAUGGACUUCUUGUUAAAUCUUUUUCUUUUGGGGGGAUGAUUAAGGAAUUGAUUAGAAAUUGCAUGGAAAAAUUACAAAUUCAAGGAUCCUUACUUAUAGAAUAAUAAAUACAUUGUACGACCAAUAAAACAUUCUAUAUAUUAUAUUUUCAAUGAACUUUAUAAGCUGAUGUAACUCAUGAGAAUUCAAAACACCAUGUAUAAUGAUUGUUGAUCAAUUACCACUAGGUGCUUAUUUAUGGAGAAUGGCAGGUUGAAUUGUUUUUUUUAAACGAAUAAUGAACUGAACACAUGUAUGAGAUGUGUCACAGUAUUUAUUAAAAAUAAGUCCAUAUGGACUUCUGUUCCAUGUUAAAAGAGACAAUAUUCAUCAAUUUAGGUAUGCAUAGUCUAUCAAAAUCAAAUUAAGGCAUAUAAAAAUGUCUUUUCCAAAAAAGUAUUCAAAAAUAUUUCUGUAUUCAAUUCUUAUUGGUAAAUGUGACACAAAACAAGGUAUGACUGUUAAAUGAUGUCUCUGUUCUGGACAUUGAACAUGUUCAUGUUAUAUUCCUGUUCAAUCCUGUUAGGAACUAUGGAAAUAAAAUAAAGUUUUUCAUUUGUAGUCUCACAAACACACACAUCCAAAAUAUCCUGGACAAGUACAGCUUGCACUCUUCCAGAUGGUGGUUUCAAUUGAACCAUGUGAUUGUUUAAAGAACUUUGUUGACGUUGAUGGUCAGCAACUGCAUUGUCUCUAUCCAUGAACUUCACCAGAGCCAUGAACAAAUCACUACUGCCAUGUCCCGUUACUUUAACAAAAAUUUCUACUUUCCCAAAGCAUGUUUCCUUGAAUCGAAUUAUUUUGUUGUCUCUCCUUGUAGUUGACUUAUAGUCAACACUGUGAACAACCUGUUGGUCCACAAGUAGUCUUUUGAAGAAAACCACACGGACCUAUAAUUUCCAGCUAAGGUCAAAAGGAUUCCCUGUUCCUUAGAUUUCAAAGGUAUCUUACUGUAGGCACCAAUAACAGCAACCCUGUCUGUUAUUUCACUUGGACAGUGUCCCUUUCUUUCCAUUAUCUUCUGAAAGAGUUCCCGUUUACUGCUGCCAAACUUCAGAGCUUGGGACAACGUCAGUAGCUGCUUAUGAACACAAACCGCAAAUGCUAUUUGGGUUUCAAUAUGUUGGGUGCCAUGGAAAAGGUGUCUCCAUUAAAAUCCUUAAAAUGGAUACAAGAUGAGCACCAAAGUGGUCCAAGAUCCUCAACUUUUUCUGUCAGGUGCAAGAGCAUAUAUCAAACUCUUUGUCUUGAUCUGUCUCAUUCUGAAUCUCCGUCAACAUAUAUGGCAAAAAAGCAGGAUCUUCAGCAACAUCUUGAAGCAUUUAAAAACAAUACAAUUAUUGUAAAGUACAUAAAUAGCACAAAUGUUUCUAUAUAAUGUUUGGUGCAACAUGUCAUUUGAUUGGCUAGAGAAGAAGUAAAUUAUAUAUCGAUUGUAUAACCUAUGAUGUCUAUCACAAUGUGACUGAUGACGUAAAAAAGAAAUAAGUAAAUAAAUCCGCUUGACAUUACAUUUAAACUUUUUACAAUUUGAAGUCAUUUCUGAGGGGAAAUAAAAAUUCACAAAUAAAAUGUAAUUAAUAAAAUGAUCGCUACAUUGUCAAUUCUAAAUCAAAAGAUUGCAUGUGCCGGGCUUGUAACUUAUGAUUAUGAAUAUUGGAUCAUUCACAAGCAUCAGAAAAUAAUGCAUAAAACGAAAUCUAGGAACUUGUUACCUUUCUGCUACAUCAACAGUUAUGGUACAUAAUCGUAACAAGAACUAACUCAUGAAAGGCAUCGAUAAUCAUAAUGGCAACAGGGCCAGCAGUUUCACAUGCCACGCUUCGAUUGCCGAAAUUUUCUGAUGAAAUGUUGUCUUUUCCUUGUUGCAUUCGCCAAAGGGAUACUUUGAGUGUUGGAUUAGACUUAUCGGCAUGGAAAACCUGGUAGCUACCACGUUUGUGAGGGCUUCGGAGCAGACGUGUUUCGAUUUUCUUUCUUUUUAAAAUGGUGCCUUCUUUGUUUACAUCCGGAAUAACCGGAAGUGUGCGAAUCGAGUAUUUACAUAAUUAAGAAAAAUACGUUUGAAUGUUCCUGAUCAAUUUAAGCAAAACUGAUGAAUAACUAAAAAAAAUCUCACGUAUUUACUUUACGAUUUUUAAUCAUUUGAAGUCAUAAAGGUUUUUAAUUCCUUGAUUCCAGUAUUUCCUCUAAUCGCUGAUUGGUCAAAUCUGAAAAGGGGCAGUAAAACGAUUUUCAUUGGCUCCGCUCUCCAUUUUCAAACAAUGUAGCGUCGGUUCAAGAAGGUGAAAGUUAAAAGGUUCUAUUAUUACUUUCUUCAACGAACCAUGUAUGCCCUUAUGGAGUGGAUAGAGGAAGAAAAGGUCAGCAUCAUAACCUUAUCACGCAUCAAAGAUCCAAGAAAGGAGUUUUGCCAGUAUAUAAAGUCGGGGAUUUGGUGAAAGCCAGCUGCCAUGGCUUUCCUGGCGUGCAUCCCGCCAAGAUCUUAGAUGCAUGAUGGAGCUGAUGCCUGGUAGUGGGAUCUACGUUUAUUCCAAAGAUAUACGAGCUUUAUAUAAGCCAAAAAGAAAAAAAAGUGUAACUUGUCAGGAGGGGGAACCUAACUGGUGCAAAUGCAAAGGAAGGUCUUGAAAAGGCCAUUUUGAAGACUAUUCUUGACUAUGCCGGGAUUCAGAGGCCAUUGUCAAGUUUUCGAUGAGGACCAAGAUUAGUUCCCUAGUCAGCCUCCAAAACAGGAAACAGACCUAACUUUUAUCCAUUCAGUAAUGUGAUAUGGGAUUGUCCAAUUUUUAAUGUGAUAAUAAUAUGUACAAAGAGUUAGUAAUAAAUAUUUUAUUUAUUCUUUUAAAAAUAUUUUUGUUCCAAACUUUAUAAAUGAAAUUAAUUAUACCAACAAUAGUCGCUGUUUAUAAUCUAUAAUGUCUUAUUAUCCCUGUAUUUAUUAUACUUUUUGCUACGUAUAACUUUUGUCGGGUAUAACUUUUUUGUAACUUUUCCAUAACUUUUGUCAGGUAUAAAUUUUUUGUAACUUUUCCAUAACUUUUGUUGGGUAUAACUUUUUUGUAACUUUUGUCAGGUAUAACUUUAUUGUAACUUUUCCAUAACUUAAGUAUAACUUUUUGUAACUUUUAUGAAGUAUAACUUUUUUGAAGUAUAACUUUUUGAUAACUUUUAUGCACUUGUUGUAUUCAUGUUGAAAUAAAAGAUGAUAA